rnacentral:misc_RNA from 1 species
AACAUCGCGCACCUGCGGGAACCUGCGGAGGAUCAUUAUAGUAUAUGGAAUCUCCAUUCUAUAAACCCACUCUGCGUAUCUUGUAACUGUUGCUUCCAUGGGACUUGGUUCCGCCACACCGGCUUCACGGCUGGUGAGCGCCCAUGGAAGGAGAAACAAAACUCUUCUUUGAAAUGUAGUCAGUCUGAACAAGUUUUUAUAAACGUUAAAACUUUUAACAAUGGAUCUCAGAUCGGAAGA